rnacentral:rRNA from 1 species
AUUGAACGCUGGCGGCAGGCCUAACACAUGCAAGUCGAGCGGAUGAAGGGAGCUUGCUCCUGGAUUCAGCGGCGGACGGGUGAGUAAUGCCUAGGAAUCUGCCUGGUAGUGGGGGAUAACGUCCGGAAACGGGCGCUAAUACCGCAUACGUCCUGAGGGAGAAAGUGGGGGAUCUUCGGACCUCACGCUAUCAGAUGAGCCUAGGUCGGAUUAGCUAGUUGGCGGGGUAAAGGCCUACCAAGGCGACGAUCCGUAACUGGUCUGAGAGGAUGAUCAGUCACACUGGAACUGAGACACGGUCCAGACUCCUACGGGAGGCAGCAGUGGGGAAUAUUGGACAAUGGGCGAAAGCCUGAUCCAGCUAUGCCGCGUGUGUGAAGAAGGUCUUCGGAUUGUAAAGCACUUUAAGUUGGGAGGAAGGGCAGUAAGUUAAUACCUUGCUGUUUUGACGUUACCAACAGAAUAAGCACCGGCUAACUUCGUG